GAAAAGAGGCAUUGCUCUGUAAUAAAGCAGAGGCAUUGUUUCUCUGCCAUACCUAAGUACCAUCAUGGGUGUUGCACUCCAGAGUAUCUGCAGUAUCAGAGGUAACCUUUCAUCAGUCUAGCAGAAACCUUCACUGUCUUGACCUACAGCAAUUCUCCACCAGCCUCUAAUCUCUCAGUUUACCAAAUUCAAACCUCACCUACACUAGCUCUGCAACCUUAUUCUCCUCUAGACUAAAUAACCUGACACCUCCUACCAAGGCUACUAUCAUUCAUUUUGGGACACCUUACACAGCUCAAGCCCUUUGCCCCCGGAGUCCAACCACAGUCUGCCCACAAGGAUAAGUAAAGUGGAUGCAAGGUGUGUGAAUGUGUAUAGUGGAGGCAAACGUGUGUGAAUAGUGGAUUCAGAGAGAGUGGAUGAGGAAAGUGGAUACAAUGUGUGUGUAAAGUGGAUGCAACGAGUAUGUUUGUAUAGCGGAUGCAGUGUGUGUGUAGUGGAUUCAGUGUCUG